AAGACCGCUGGUGCCCAAGGUGUUCUCUGGCAGGGCAAUGACGAAUCUAGGUCCCUCUUUCACUGCUACAUCAAUCAUGUGGGCCACUUGGACAAGGCCAAAUUUGCUAUCCCAACCAUAGCCCUUGACAGAGAUAUUCAGCUCCAGGAAGCCAUCAGAUGCAGCAGGUGGCCAGAGGAGGAGGCGAACGGGCUCAUAAAAUGUGACAUCCCCAACUUCAUCAAUACGGACCAGAACUCUUCCUUUGGGGAAGAUGAUCUCCUGAUUUUGGAACCACCAAUUGUUCUAGAAGAUAAGCCAGUUGCUCAGACCUCACACAUAGACUUGAAUUGAGAAACGUGCUUUGUCAAGUGUCUUUCUGAAGAUGUGAAGUUUGUCUUUGUAUGGCAGGAAUUCCCCUUUCACAAAAUUGUAUGUGUUUGUGUCUGAGAGAGAGAAAUGGAGACAGACAGAAAGACGGAGACAGAAGAGCACCCCCUCAGAAGAGAGCUAGUUAAGUCCUACAGGGACAAGGAUCCUUAUUUGUUCACUGACGGACCUCAGGUGGCUUGACCUGUACCCGUGGCACAGCAGUCAAUACAAAUUGGCCGGAUGGAAGGAGGGAUCGUUCCUUACAUUCACAGAUCCCUCCCUUCUCUCUGCACUUCCUGUCCAUCUGUCUCCCUCCACUUUUCUCCUCCUCCCCUCCUCCUCCCAUCUUCUCCCUCCCUCACUUCCGCAGCUUCUCUCACAGAAACCUGAGGAUCGCUGGCCCUCCUGGGCAUGCGCAGUCAGUGCCAGGUGGACCGCGGUUUGGAAGCUCCAUCUCCGAGCCGGGGAUCUGCCCCAAAAUCUUCUCAGCUAUGUCGCCCGGACCAGCUCGGUGGCGUGGGCGCUUCUCCCCCGGCUGAGAGCCUCCGGCCCGCCGUAAAGCCCAGCUUGUCCUGGUGAAGUCUGCAAAAGGGAGCGUCAGUGCUGAGGGAGCUUCCGUCACCUCCCUCAGUGUUUCUGCCCCAGGUAGGUAGCCGAGCAGAAGCGCACCGACGUGGCCUUCAAUCUACGAGGACUGCAGGCUGGUGGAGAAGAGGAUCGAGGACUUCACUGUCUCUCUCUUCAUCAUGCUCAAGUCCAAGUGGCUGGAUAGGGCCCCCAACAAGUCUGGGGAUAAGAUCCCCCUCCUCUGCACCUUGUUUGAGAAGGAGGACUUCAUGGGAUUGGACACAGACAGCAGGUGCCCUCACCUCCAGUGACAUCCAUCCAGACACCAGCACUGACACUGGCCGUGCUCAGAACUGCCUCAGCCCUGAAGACACAACUGACAAAUAGAAGGGGGCCACGCCCUGUUA